GAUGAACGCUGGCGGCGUGCCUAAUACAUGCAAGUCGAACGGACAGACCAUGAUCUUGCUGCUCGCACGUUAGCCGCGGACGUGUGAAUAACGCGUGUAUAACCUACCUAUAAGACUGGUAUAACUUCGAAAAACCGGCGCUAAUCCCGGAGAAUCUAUUGAACCGUAUGGGGCAAUGGUGAGUGUCGGCUUUGCUGUCACUACUAGCUGGAUCCGCGCCGCAUUAGCUGGUUGGUAGGUUAAAAGCUUACCACGGCGACGAUGCGUAGACGAACUGUGGGGGUGAUAGGCCACACUGGAGGGGAGACGCGGACCAGACGCCUGAGAGAGGGAGCAGUAGGGAAUCGUACGCAACGGGCGAGAGCCUUACGGAGCAACGGCGCGUGAGUGAUGAAGGUCUCCGGAUCGUAAAGCUCUGUUAUGAGGGAAGAACAAAUGUGUAAGUAACUGUGCACGUCGUGACGGUAACUAAUCAGAAAGCCACGGCUAACUACGUG
rnacentral:rRNA from 1 species